CCUUUCGUGGUGCAGUGGUCAGCACGCUGGACGCGUAACUGAGAGGUCCGUGGUUCGAUUCCUGGCGAAGGCG
rfam:Stegodyphus mimosarum contig14674, whole genome shotgun sequence.